UAAUACGUAGGGUGCAAGCGUUAAUCGGAAUUACUGGGCGUAAAGCGUGCGCAGGCGGUUUUGUAAGUCAGAUGUGAAAUCCCCGGGCUUAACCUGGGAACUGCGUUUGAAACUACAAGGCUAGAGUGUGGCAGAGGGGGGUGGAAUUCCACGUGUAGCAGUGAAAUGCGUAGAGAUGUGGAGGAACACCGAUGGCGAAGGCAGCCCCCUGGGUUAACACUGACGCUCAGGCACGAAAGCGUGGGGAGCAAACAGGAUUAGAUACCCUGGUAGUCCACGCCCUAAACGAUGUCAACUAGUUGUCGGGUCUUAACGGACUUGGUAACGCAGCUAACGCGUGAAGUUGACCGCCUGGGGAGUACGGUCGCAAGAUUAAAACUCAAAGGAAUUG
rnacentral:rRNA from 1 species